CAAAUUAUAGCUUAUGUUUAAAGCUUGUUUUUUACAUAAACAAUAAGAAUUAUAUUUCUGU
rnacentral:tRNA from 1 species